rnacentral:rRNA from 1 species
AUACGGAGGGUGCAAGCGUUAAUCGGAAUUACUGGGCGUAAAGCGUACGUAGGCGGUUAUUUAAGUCAGAUGUGAAAGCCCCGGGCUUAACUUGGGAACUGCAUUUGAAACUGGGUAACUAGAGUUUAGUAGAGGGGAGUGGAAUUUCAGGUGUAGCGGUGAAAUGCGUAGAGAUCUGAAGGAACACCAGUGGCGAAGGCGACUCCCUGGACUAAAACUGACGUUGAGGUACGAAAGCGUGGGUAGCAAACAGGAUUAGAAACCCCAGUAGUCC